UUUGGUUGUAAUAUUCAGUUCACU
rnacentral:piRNA from 2 species